AUUGAACGCUGGCGGCAGGCCUAACACAUGCAAGUCGAGCGGAUGAAGGGAGCUUGCUCCUGGAUUCAGCGGCGGACGGGUGAGUAAUGCCUAGGAAUCUGCCUGGUAGUGGGGGAUAACGUCCGGAAACGGGCGCUAAUACCGCAUCCGUUCUGAGGGAGAAAGUGGGGGAUCUUCGGACCUCACGCUAUCAGAUGAGCCUAGGUCGGAUUAGCUAGUUGGUGGGGUAAAGGCCUACCAAGGCGACGAUCCGUAACUGGUCUGAGAGGAUGAUCAGUCACACUGGAACUGAGACACGGUCCAGACUCCUACGGGAGGCAGCAGUGGGGAAUAUUGGACAAUGGGCGAAAGCCUGAUCCAGCCAUGCCGCGGGUGUGAAGAAGGUCUUCGGAUUGUAAAGCACUUUAAGUUGGGAGGAAGGGCAGUAAGUUAAUACCUUGCUGUUUUGACGUUACCAACAGAAUAAGCACCGGCUAACUUCGUG
rnacentral:rRNA from 1 species